rnacentral:rRNA from 1 species
CCUACGGGAGGCAGCAGUGGGGAAUAUUGCGCAAUGGGCGGAAGCCUGACGCAGCGACGCCGCGUGGGGGAUGAAGGCCUUCGGGUUGUAAACCUCUUUCACCAUUGACGAAGCUCCUUUUUUGGGGUGACGGUAGGUGGGGAAGAAGCGCCGGCUAACUACGUGCCAGCAGCCGCGGUAAUACGUAGGGCGCGAGCGUUGUCCGGAUUUAUUGGGCGUAAAGAGCUCGUAGGUGGUUUGUUGCGUCUGCCGUGAAAGCUCAUGGCUUAACUGUGGGUUUGCGGUGGAUACGGGCGGACUUGAGGCAGGUAGGGGAGAAUGGAAUUCCCGGUGUAGCGGUGAAAUGCGCAGAUAUCGGGAGGAACACCGGUGGCGAAGGCGGUUCUCUGGGCCUGUUCUGACACUGAGGAGCGAAAGCGUGGGGAGCGAACAGGAUUAGA